UUGUUUCUCCCAAGCAUUAAAAUUGUUGUAACCUUUUGAGCUUUUUUUUUUAAUACCUUCUGCUUUGCUUAUAAAACGCAAAGGAUGUAUAGUACAUAAAGAUCCAGAUCAAGCUCCAUGGAAACCAAAAAUAACUAAGAUCUCUCCUUAUUCAAUAUAGUCAAUAAACUAACCUAUCGAUCUUUAGAAAGAUCCGGUCGAUGGAUCCAUUGCAUGGCUGCCGGGCCUCGACAUCCACCUCGACGGAUCGAGUCUCUCCGAGCAUGGUACCGGCUAGUUUCAGGGUAAACCAUAUGGAGAAGGGAAGAUAGAAGAGAUCUCUAGACGUGGAUGGGUUUUUUCGGUUCAAAGAUGGAAUAUUUAUAUCAAUUCACAUUCGGGGUUAUAUAGUUGAAUCGGAAUAAAGCUUUGGUAAGUGGACUGUUCUUACCUAAGUGGGCAUGAUGGUAGUCCAGUCUUGUAACAAUCUAUAUAUUUGGGUUUAGCAUAUAGAAUUUUUAUCGAUUUAAGUGUUAGAGUAUUCUCCAUCUAAGUUCCGUUCAUCCCAGUUCCCACAAUAUUACCUCUAAAGGUGUCUCAAAAGGCAAGUCAUUUUUUCUGGCUAUUCAAAUGCAGCUUCAAUUACUAAUCAAAUACUACUUUUUCCACUAAUUUUUUCCCCCUAAUUUGUUGUUAACUGUUUGUAGUGGAGAAAAGUUUAACGGAGUUCUUAAGUUCCUAGUA